GACGAACGCUGGCGGCGUGCUUAACACAUGCAAGUCGAACGGACAGGCCCUGCUUUUGUUGGGUGCUCGAGUGGCGAACGGGUGAGUAACACGUGAGUAACCUGCCCUUGACUUUGGGAUAACUUCUGGAAACUGGGGCUAAUACCGCGUAGGAGCUCCUGCUGCAUGGUGGGGGUUGGAAAGUUACGGCGGUUGGGGAUGGACUCGCGGCUUAUCAGCCUCUUGGUGGGGUAGUGGCUUACCAAGGCUUUGACGGGUAGCCGGCCUGAGAGGGUGACCGGGCACAUUGGGACUGAGAGAGGGACCAGACUCCUACGGGAGGCAGUAGGCGGGAAUAUGGCACAAUGGGCGGAAGUCUGAUGCAGCAACGUCGCGUGCGUGAUGAUGGCCUUCGGGGGGUAAACCGCUUUCGCCGGUGACGAAGAUGGAGUGACGGUAAUGGGUAAAGAAGCAACGGCUAACUACGUG
rnacentral:rRNA from 1 species